UACGAAGGGGCUAGCGUUGUUCGGAAUUACUGGGCGUAAAGCGCGCGCAGGCGGCUCUUCAAGUCAGGGGUGAAAGCCCAGAGCUCAACUCUGGAACUGCCUUUGAGACUGAAGAGCUUGAGUACGGGAGAGGUGAGUGGAAUUCCCAGUGAUAGAGGUGAAAUUCGUAGAUAUUGGGAAGAACACCGGUGGCGAAGGCGGCUCACUGGCCCGUUACUGACGCUCAGGCGCGAC
rnacentral:rRNA from 1 species